rnacentral:tRNA from 1 species
GGAGAGAUGGCCGAGUUGGUUGAAGGCGCUCGCCUGGAAAGCGAGUACAUGGGGUUGACCUGUGUCGAGGGUUCGAAUCCCUCUCUCUCCGCCA